UGAGUUUGAUCCUGGCUCAGGAUGAACGCUAGCGACAGGCUUAACACAUGCAAGUCGAGGGGCAGCACAAGGAGCAAUCUGAGGUGGCGACCGGCGCACGGGUGAGUAACAGGUAUGCAACCUGGCUGUUAGCGGGGGAUAACCCGGAGAAAUUCGGACUAACACCGCAUAAUACUGUGAUUCCGCAUGGGGUUAUAGUUAAAUAUUUAUAGCUAACAGAUGGGCAUGCUUUUCAUUAGAUAGUUGGCGGGGUAACGGCCCACCAAGUCUUCGAUGAAUAGGGGUUCUGAGAGGAAGAUCCCCCACACUGGGACUGAGACACGGCCCAGACUCCUACGGGAGGCAGCAGUGAGGAAUAUUGGUCAAUGGGCGAGAGCCUGAACCAGCCAAGUCGCGUGCAGGAAUACGGCCCUAUGGGUUUUAAACUGCUUUUAUACGAGGAUAAAAGACAUUAUGUAUAAUGUAUUGCAGGUAUCGUAUGAAUAAGGAUCGGCUAACUCCGUGCCAGCAGCCGCGGUAAUACGGAGGAUCCAAGCGUUAUCCGGAUUUAUUGGGUUUAAAGGGUGCGUAGGCGGUGCUUUAAGUCAGCGGUGAAAGUUUGCAGCUUAACUGUAAAAUUGCCGUUGAAACUGUCGCACUUGAGUAUAAAUGAAGUAGGCGGAAUGUGUAGAGUAGCGGUGAAAUGCUUAGAUAUUACACAGAACUCCGAUUGCGAAGGCAGCUUACUAAGCUAUAACUGACGCUGAGGCACGAAAGCGUGGGGAUCAAACAGGAUUAGAUACCCUGGUAGUCCACGCUGUAAACGAUGAAUACUAGCUGUUUGCGAUACACAGCAAGCNGGCCGAGCGAAAGCAUUAAGUAUUCCACCUGGGGNAGUACGCCGGCAACGGUGAAACUCAAAGGAAUUGACGGGGGCCCGCACAAGCGGAGGAACAUGUGGUUUAAUUCGAUGAUACGCGAGGAACCUUACCCGGGCUUGAAAUGGAGUGGAAUAACGGUGAAAGCCGUUAGCUAGCAAUAGCCACUUUGUAGGUGCUGCAUGGUUGUCGUCAGCUCGUGCCGUGAGGUGUCGGCUUAAGUGCCAUAACGAGCGCAACCCUUUCCGAUAGUUACUAACAGGUCAAGCUGAGGACUUUAUUGGGACUGCCACCGUAAGGUGUGAGGAAGGUGGGGAUGACGUCAAAUCAGCACGGCCCUUACGUCCGGGGCGACACACGUGUUACAAUGGGGGGUACAGCGGGCCGCUACCUGGCGACAGGAUGCCAAUCUCGUAAAACCCCUCUCAGUUCGGAUCGGAGUCUGCAACCCGACUCCGUGAAGCUGGAUUCGCUAGUAAUCGCGCAUCAGCCAUGGCGCGGUGAAUACGUUCCCGGGCCUUGUACACACCGCCCGUCAAGCCAUGGAAGCUUGGGGUGCCUAAAGUACGUAACCGCAAGGAGCGUCCUAGGGCAAAACAGGUAACUGGGGCUAAGUCGUAACAAGGUAGCC
rnacentral:rRNA from 1 species